rnacentral:lncRNA from 1 species
UUCGGGUUUAGGAUUUCAUCAGAAAAUAUGAUUUUUCUAGUGAAGAACUCUCAUUACUGAAUGUUGAUGAGGCUAGCAAUAAGAGAUAGUAAAAGGAUAUGAUUGUUGGAGGUAUGCCCUAGAGGCAAUCAUAGAGAUGAUGAUAUUCCAUUUGUAUCCAUGAUUUGUAUAUUGUGUUCAUUGAAUAUUCAUUAAAGGCUACUUGAAUUGAUUUGCAAUUAUGUGAAUUGUAUGUGAAACUCUUUACUUGUAUGGUUAUUCUAAAGUUGUCCCUAGUCGGAGUUCAUGUGAGGACACACAUGAAUAUUAGACUAGCACAUGUAUUAGUUGAUGACUAUGUUUCACAAGUCAUGGACAUGGAGAUGUUGAACUAAUAAUGUGGACACAUGUGGAGACAUGUGUUAGGACUGACCCAACACGAGAAGUAGUUCUCUCUUUAAACAACAUAUACGCUUUGUCCUUAGACCUGAGAUUGUCGCAUGUAUUCUAGAUGUGGAUCGACCUACUUAGGGGCUAUCAAACACUACGCCGUAACAGGGUAGUUAUAAAGGUAGCUUUCGGGUUUGUCAAGAAGCAUGCUAUGAGACAUGGUCAAUCAAGAUGGGAUUUGCCCCUCUCUGAUUGAGAGUGAUAUCUCUGGGCCCCUCGAGUGAUCGGAUCCGAAAAUGCAUGGCCAUGCUACGUACGGUUAAGAGUUAACCUACAAAGGGAUUCCGAAUCACAGGAUCGAGAAAGAGCGGUCGGCUUGAAGCUAGACCAAAUAUCGUGAGGCAAAGGGAAUAGCAUGUAUAUUAUGUUGUGAUGGUUCGUCUGAUAUGAUCUUCGUGUGCGUAUAGGAGUUGGCACGUCUUGCUAGAGGCCGCUACCGACUAUUGGGCCGAGUAGGAGUACUCGGGCCAUGUCUAUACGUAUCCGAACCCAUAGGGUCACACACUUAAGGGGCUGGAAGCCCAAUUCGGAUCUGAUCCGAGUUGGAUUAGGUUUAGGAGUAAUAAUGGGCCUCGGAUCCAGAGGCCCAUCAGGAACCUCUAUAAAUAGAGGGGUGGGGGCGCCCUAGGGUUUACACCUUUUGGCGAAACACAUCUGUCGCGCCUCCCACGCCCUCGCCUGUUGCAACUCGCGGAUCUAGCAGUCCGGCUUGUGAUGCUUCCUCCCUGCACGUGUGGAUACCUUGGAGGUGUUGCGCCUGCAGCACUUGGACGAGCCGCCGACGAGCCGCGACGAGCCGACGACGAGCCGCGGCACCGGAGGCGAUCUUGCUGCACGUGGGAGCUGCUGGACGUGACGUGAUCGACUACGUACGACUACGUUGAUCGACUACGUACGACUACGUAAUCGUCUUCACUGCAUCAACGUAUAUCUACAUCUUCCGCACCAGUAGUGCGUCGAGUGGUAAUCCCGUGAUCCUUAUACGGCAGUUCUUCCUGGUUAUACGCGGUAGAAAUUUUGAUUUGCGCUAGUGUAGCCUACCUCGUAUCCCAACAAUGAUCAAUGCUCAAAAUUAAAGCAAACCAAGAGAGAGCGACCCUAAUUCAAUUCAAAGCGUCAAUUCUUGCUUAUGGUGGUAUGAAUAAAUAUUUUUAGGCAUUGGGUAGGAUAAAUAAUAACUCUUAACCUGGUUAAAGAUCUUGAACAAUCUUAUUUUUGCAAAGGUUUUAGAUAAGCAAUAAAAUUUUAAAUUAACUCCAAUUCAAGCCUUACUCAUAAACUGAAGCACUUAAUCAUCACAAAACAUGGGUAUUGCAUAAACAAAUCGAUUACUAAAACUCCACAAUUAAGAUUUGAAAUUCAAGACAAUGCUCAUGAUCCAAUAUUGCAAAGGUAAAGUAAAAGACAAAAAAAGCAAAGUUAGACACUAAAAACACUCGCGCGAUCCUCAAAUUUUAUUCUUGCUUCUUCUCACAAAGACGCUAAAGUAGUGAUCUAGGCCUAAGUCUUCCCAGAAGCUUAAGAAGACUACUACUUUAUCUACUUUUGAUUGAAAUAAAACACUAAUUUAGACUCUCACAUGACUUGACUCGAUCGAACUAGAUCCAAAAACACACUACAAUCGGUGAUCUCCCCACCCCAUGCUUAAAAUCUACGACGUCCUCGUCGUAACCACACAUGAAGUAGAAAGGGAAAGACACUCGUAAACGCACUAGUGACGCUGCCCGCAUUGUUUGCAAAACAGGGUGGUUCCUACUUCCUUCACCAAGAGCCUUGUUCUUCCUCAUGUUGCCUCACAUCCCGAAGAGCUUCCUCACGUUUCUUUGCAAGAACUUGAAGUCAUCCUCCUAGCGGCGAUCGUUCUCCUCCACCUUGUGGUCCAACUCUUGCAUGGCUUAGAUGAUGUCGUCGACAGCGUCAAAAAGGUAUUGGAUGUUCUUCAAGGUAUUGGAUGUUCUUCGUGCAAUAGGUGGCUCUAGGUGAAUGUCGGUGAAAAAAUUCUAGACAUCAUCGUAGACUUUACGCUGAAAAAAUGUCCGUAAUGGGCCAGGCCAAUCGGCCUUGGCCCCUUUCUAGCCCUUCUAGUCCUCUCCUUCCCCCUCGAUGAUCCAU